rnacentral:lncRNA from 1 species
AGCGUUGCGGCUCAAGGCAAAGCUGGUCCUGUGCCUGCUGUCCAUUGCCGCUAAGGCCUGCUGCUGCCAUUCAGGCGUGUCUCUCUCUCUCUCUUUCAUGCCGCUCUCUCCACCCCAUCUUGGGACGGCCAGCUCUAAGAAUUCCUGCUACGACACUGAAUUCAACCAGGAGGUGAUGCCACACUCAAUCAGAAACUAUGCUACUGCUGAAGAGGUAUAUUGAGCCCUGCCUGGUUAACCUCCAGUGAGGUUAUUAGAGAAUUGGGAGAGGCUCAAAUCAGCAUCCUGCACCUAGUUAUCAAACCAUUGUGAAUUCUUGAUUCCUGGAUGGCCAGAAAACUUGUCAUUGGUCAAGAGCAACAUUAAGAUCUGCCUGUUACUCAUACUGAUGCUUCCUGCCCAGCAAGUUCAUCAGAGGGCGAGGAUGAAUUACGGUUGCCAUGAAUGUCCUUGUGAGGCAGUUGGGAAGCCUUGGCUGGAUUGUGAAGGAUAUUUGAAAAGUAUUUUAGAGUCCACCAGAUCAUCCAUGUGAGUGACCAUGCAGCAAAAGAAGGAGGGUCCUCUCAGUGAUUAAGGAUUAUGAAGUAUUAAUUCUUCCACUGAUAUCUCAAAAGGUGAUCUGGACAAAGGAACAGGUAUCUCAGAUUCCCAGUUCUCAAUCUUCCUUCCUCCUUACAAGAUACAAGCAACCUUCAACCUUCCA